rnacentral:rRNA from 1 species
AAUCUUGCGCAAUGGGCGAAAGCCGGACGCAGCCACGCCGCGUGAAUGAUGAAGGUCUUAGGCUUGUAAAAUUCUUUCACCUGGGACGAUAAUGACGGUAUCCGGAGUAGAAGCCCCGGCUAACUUCGUGCCAGCAGCCGCGGUAAUACGAAGGGGGCUAGCGUUGCUCGGAAUUACUGGGCGUAAAGGGCGCGUAGGCGGAUCGUUAAGUCAGGGGUGAAAUCCCGGGGCUCAACCUCGGACCUGCCCUUGAUACUGGCGAUCUUGAGUAUGAGAGAGGUAUGUGGAACUCCGAGUGUAGAGGUGAAAUUCGUAGAUAUUCGGAAGAACACCAGUGGCGAAGGCGACAUACUGGCUCAUUACUGACGCUGAGGCGCGAAAGCGUGGGGAGCAAACA